rnacentral:misc_RNA from 1 species
AAGUCGUAACAAGGUUUCCGUAGGUGAACCUGCGGAAGGAUCAUUAACAGGUAUGGACACUUGCUCCGGCGAGUGCGCCAUAUUCAUCCUUGUGUUGUGUAUACGAGUGAUGCGCGUGCACAUGCUCUGUGUGUGCGCGCGCACCUUUUUUCACCCAUUCCAUACAAUUCUGAUACAUCUGUGGUGCUCGCAAGAGCCCACGACAACAACCGAAAACUGCCAGCAACGGAUCACUCGGUUCUC